AGCACACUCCCUUCUUUAUCAGCAUUACCUUGUCAGGAUGUCGCCUUAACCAUCUUCUUCUAGUAUCCUAUGUAAAUUUCUCAUCUCUAACCAUGAUCGAUCCUUCCUCUUACCUUUUGUUGGUAACUUUAUGGUUCCUAAUUUGUUUCUUGGAGUUGGACUUAACAAUUUAAUCUCUCAGUCUAGAAGCGCUCUUAAUUUGCUUUUGGUUAUCACUACGAAUAAAGACUACAAGCACUAGCAACGAAGUUCAAUGUUCAUCUUUUUCACGUCACUACACACAAUCAGUUGUUUAUGUGCAGCACAGCCACUGCUGAAAACUUGCAGGAGAUGGAGGCAUAUCUACUUUGAACUAUCAGUUUUUGGAUUACAUGAGGUACAAAUUCGAGGAUGUUCUACGUAAGCUCUGCUAGAUAUUAUCUGUUUCCUUGAAGUAUCGUGUUGUAGAUUAGUUUCUAUUUCUUUUCUUGACAGUAGCAGUACUUAACUGUAUCAUAUGCUUGUUAUAAGAUCAAUCCUCAUUUCAAUAUCAGAAUGCUAGUUUAUUUCAUCAA